AAUAGAUACCCUGGUAGUCCACGCCGUAAACGAUGAGUGCUAAGUGUUAGGGGGUUUCCGCCCCUUAGUGCUGCAGCUAACGCAUUAAGCACUCCGCCUGGGGAGUACGGUCGCAAGACUGAAACUCAAAGGAAUUGACGGGGGCCCGCACAAGCGGUGGAGCAUGUGGUUUAAUUCGAAGCAACGCGAAGAACCUUACCAGGUCUUGACAUCCUCUGACAACCCUAGAGAUAGGGCUUUCCCUUCGGGGACAGAGUGACAGGUGGUGCAUGGUUGUCGUCAGCUCGUGUCGUGAGAUGUUAGGUUAAGUCCCGCAACGAGCGCAACCCUUGAUCUUAGUUGCCAGCAUUUAGUUGGGCACUCUAAGGUGACUGCCGGUGACAAACCGGAGGAAGGUGGGGAUGACGUCAAAUCAUCAUGCCCCUUAUGACCUGGGCUACACACGUGCUACAAUGGACAGAACAAAGGGCUGCGAGACCGCAAGGUUUAGCCAAUCCCACAAAUCUGUUCUCAGUUCGGAUCGCAGU
rnacentral:rRNA from 1 species